AAUUACAGUAUGAUUGCCCAAUGGCAGUAAGCACCUAUUUAAGAUUUAUGAUCAUUAAGCAGGGUUGGGCCUGGUUAGUACUUGGAUGGGAGACCACCUAGGAAGACCAGGUGCUGUAGGCA
ensembl:rRNA 5S_rRNA 5S ribosomal RNA